GACGAACGCUGGCGGCGUGCCUAAUACAUGCAAGUUGAGCGCUGAAGGUUGGUACUUGUACCAACUGGAUGAGCAGCGAACGGGUGAGUAACGCGUGGGGAAUCUGCCUUUGAGCGGGGGACAACAUUUGGAAACGAAUGCUAAUACCGCAUAAAAACUUUAAACACAAGUUUUAAGUUUGAAAGAUGCAAUUGCAUCACUCAAAGAUGAUCUCGCGUUGUAUUAGCUAGUUGGUGAGGUAAAGGCUCACCAAGGCGAUGAUACAUAGCCGACCUGAGAGGGUGAGCGGCCACAUUGGGACUGAGACACGGCCCAAACGCCUACGGGAGGCAGCAGGAGGGAAUCUUCGGCAAUGGACGAAAGUCUGAGCGAGCAACGCCGCGGGAGUGAAGAAGGUUGUCGGAUCGUAAAACUCGGUUGGUAGAGAAGAACGCUGGUGAGAGUGGAACGCUCAUCAAGUGACGGUAACUACCCAGAAAGGGACGGCUAACUACGUG
rnacentral:rRNA from 1 species